AUCCGACCCAGUCCAUCUUAAUUCCCCCUUUACCCUUUGUAAUUACCCUAGUAUCUCUCAAUUGGGCAAUUUUUACUUUACUCGCAACCACAGUACUCUCACUGAGCAACCCAAGACUCACCUCACCGAUCCGACAACAUCUCACCGGCAACGACACUCAGGUCACUGACCUCAGCUCGUAUUCACCGAUGGCUAUCUCCGACCACUGCGCUCCACCUUAAAUCGGCCCUCCAAAGCUGCACAACAGUUCAAUUUUGUCGUUCCGUCGACGAAACUUUUGUUCAGUGGUUACCGCCACUAUUUCUUCCCUAAAUCUCCGUACAUCGACUAUCUCUAAUUUUCCCAAUAAUUUGAGUAUCACCCAUAAAGAUAAUGCUUUUUACCGUGUUCUCCAUAUAUUUAUGAGUGAAGAAAUUAGGUUUUUCAGAUUGAGUAAGCAUUACGGAUGUCCUACCUUCUGGUUUCCUCCAAGUACUGAAUGUUAUGCCGUGAUGCAAGGGGUUGAUACAAUAUUGUGUUAGUAUGUAUAUGAAAGUAGGCCAAAAUAUUAGCUAAAAUGAAAUUUGAUGUGCUUUUGUCCUUAUGGUUUCUGAAAAUAAAUUAAGAUGCUAGAUAAUUGACAAUGUAGUUACUCUGUUUGUUAUGGUUUAAAUAAACCCCUUGUUAAGUCUUCUAGAUUUGACUAAAAAAAGAAAGGACUUAAUUAACAUAUUUUAAACAUUUGGUGAUAUGAAUUCGGUGACCUAUGAGUUAUUGUUGUUCAUCAAAAUCUGUAUGCUUUUUUUAAGUGAUAAUGCAUGCAAGCGUGCAUCUUGAAGUAUGCAAAUUCAUUUGCCUUCUUACUGAUUGACAAUGGAUGUCCUAUCUUCUGGUUUCCUCUUAAGUACUGAAUGUUAUGUCAUGAUGGAGAGUAGUAUUGUCUCAUUAAGAUUGAAAUUGGCAUGUUAUGUGCCGCGAGUAUCUGAUGAGUGUAGAGAAUAAAAGGGGAAAAUGGAAGUAGGCCCUGUUAGAAAUGAAGUAAUGAAGCAAGCUAUAGAUUGUGAAGGUUUCUGUGUGAUGUUGGGAGUUUAAAAAGAAAUUUUCUGAAAUCUUGUUUCGUCUCUACUUUUGGUGUAAUGAAAAGUCCCUUGUUGUAUGGAUGGUAGGGUAGGAUGAGGAUAGAAGUGAAUUAGUGACUUGUGUUUUGAAUUUAGUUACUUGAAAGGUAAAAUUGUGUUUUGAAUUUAGGUAAGUAUGGUCACUUGAGAAGUAAAUUAGUGACUUGAAAAUGGUUUAUUAGUGUAGAUACUUGAAAUAUGAACUUGUGUUUUGAAAUUAGUUAAGUGUAAUCACUUGAAAAUGUGAAUUAAUGACUUGAAAAUGAUUUAGUGUUGUCACUUAAAAUGUGAAUUCAUGAGUUGAAAAUGGUUAAGUGUAAUCAUUUGAGAAGUGAAUUAGUGACUUGAAAAUGUUUUAGUAUAGUUACUUGAAAUUUGAACUUGUGUUUUGAAUUUAUUUAAGUGUGGCCAUUUGAGAAGUGAAUUAGUGAUUUGAAAAUGAUCAAGGGUAGUCACUUGAGAAGUGAAUUAGUGACUUGUAUUUUGAAUUUAGUUACUUGAAAGGUGAAAUUAUGUUUCGAAUUUAGUUAAGUGUGGUCGCUUGAGAAGUGAAUUAGUAAAUUAGUGACUUCAAAACGAUCAAGUGUAGUCACUUGAGAAGUGAAUUAGUGACUUGUGUUUUGAAUUUAGUUACUUGAAAGGUGAACUUGUGUUUUGAAUUUAGUUAAGUGUGAUCACUUGAGAGUGAAUUAGUGACUUGAAAAUGGUUUAUUAGUGUAGUUACUUGAAAUGUGAACUUGUGUGUUGAAAUUAGUUAAGUGUAAUCACUUGAAAAUGUGAAUUAAUGGCUUGAAAAUGAUUAAGUGUAGUCACUUGAGAAGUGAAUUAGUGGCUUGAAAAUGUUUGAGGGUAGUUACUUGAAAUGUGAACUUGUGUUUUGAAUUUAGUUAAGUGUGGUCAUUUGAGAAGUGAAUUUGUGAUUUAAAAAUGAUCAAGUGUAGUCACAUGAAAAGUGAAUUAGUGACUUGUGUUUUGAAUUUAGUUACUUGAAAGGUGGGCUUGUGUUUUAAAUUUUAGUUAAGUGUAGUCGCUUGGAAAGUGAAUUAGUGACUUGAAAAUGGUUUAUUAGUGUAGUUACUUGAAAUGUGAACUUCUGUUUUCAAAUUAGUUAAGUAUAGUCACUUGAAAAUGUGAAUUAGUGACUUGAAAAUAAUUUAGUGUUGUCACUUAAAAUGUGAAUUCUUGACUUAAAAAUGGUUAAGUAUUUUCACUUGAGAAGUGAAUUAUUGACUUGAAAAUGUUUAAGUGUAGUUACUUGAAAUGUGAACUUGUGUUUUGAAUUUAGUUAAGUGUGUUCAUUUGAGAAGUGAAUUAGUGAUUUGAAAAUGGUUUAGUGUAGUUGCUUGAAAUGUGAAUUCAUGACUUGAAAAUGGUUAAGUGUGGUCACUUGAAAAGUGAAUUAGUGACUUGAAAAUGAUUUAGUGUUGUCUCUUAAAAUGUGAAUUCAUGACUUGAAAAAUGGUUUAAGUGUGGUGACUUGAGAAGUGAAUUAAUGACUUGAAAAUGUUUAAGUGUAGUUACUUGUAAUGUGAACUUGUGUUUUGGAUUUAGUUAAAUGUGGUUAUUGGAGAAGUGAAUCGGUGAUUUGAAAAUAGUCUAGUGUAGUCGCUUGAAAUGUGAAUUUAUGACUUGAAAAUGGUUAACUGUGGUUACUUGAGAAGUGAAAUAGUGACUUGAAAAUGAUUUAGUAUUGUCACUUAAAAUGUGAAUUCAUGACUUGAAAGUGGUUAAGUGUGGUGACUUGAGAAGUGAAUUAGUGACUUGAAAAUGUUUAAGUGUAGUUACUUGAAAUGUGAACUUGUGUUUUGAAUUUAGUUAAGUGUGGUCAUUUGAUAAGUGAAUUAGUGAUUUGAAAAUGGUUUAGUAUAGUCACUUGAAAUGUGAAUUCAUGACAUGAAAAUGGUUAAGUGUGGUUACCUGAAAAUGAUCAAGUGUAGUGCUUUGAAAUGUUAACUUGUGACGAGUUGAAACAACAUCACAAAUGACAAUGAUGUAGGAGCAGAUCAAUUGUUGUCCUGGUGAUGCACCUUGGGCUGCGAAAGGCCUAAGCCAACUGGAAGAUUACUACACCAUAGAGGAUUCAAAUUCUAUGGCCGAGAAUGAGGAUGGGGAUGACGAGUUGUAGUUUUGUAGUCUUUUGUAUGUUUUGUAGUUUAUUUUUGGAACAUUGAUAAAUUUUAUGUUAAUAAUUUAAUUUUAAUGGUCGUAUUCUUAUGAUGGUUGAUUACAUAUUAAAUUUGAUAGAUGGGCUGUAUUAUAUAGCAGGUUUGAUGAAAUGUAGCACAUAUAUAUGCUGUAAUUUUUUUUUACAAAAUUACUAGAAAAAUCGACCACUUGUGGUUAGUUUUAGGAAUAAUAACUAGAAAAACCAACAAAAAGUGGUGGCAUUUUAAAAAAAUUUACCAGAAAAACCGACCACUUAUAGUCGGUAAUAUGGAAAUUCUUAAAAAAGUGACCACAAGUGGUUGUUUUUUAAAAUUUUUUACCAGAGAUGUGGUCGGUAAUCUGGAAAUUUUGUAAUAAGCGACCACAUCGCUUUCCCA
rnacentral:lncRNA from 1 species